rnacentral:tRNA from 1 species
AGUUGUUUCCUGGGGACAGUUUGUCUUGAAAACAAACUUAAAGUGUUCAAUUCACUUCGCAACUUAAA